rnacentral:rRNA from 1 species
GUGUACACAAGAUAGAGCUCACAUCAAGUUUUUAUAAACUUUACAAUUAAAUCCACCUUCAAAAGCAAUUUCACAAACCUUAUCCGUCUUAUUCUUAUAAAUGUAACCCACCUCUAUCUUUUUCAUAAGCUGCACCUUUACUUGAAGUACCUGAAUAUAUCAAAAAAGAAAGUUUUCUAAAAAAACUGACUGUCAACAGCGGUAUACAAACUGAUUACUAGAAAAAGUAGAGUUACUCGUGGACCAUCGUUUAUAGGGCAGGUUCCUCUAAAUGGCUAUCUUGCCGCCAAAUCAGUUAAAUUUCAUUAUUAUUACUAUUCCAAAAUUUAUUAAUUAUAAGUA